rnacentral:lncRNA from 10 species
GUCAGUACGCCAGGCGUUGAAAAGACCACGCCGCUAGAUCACUUGUCUCGUCUAGAACGCAUGCGUCUCAGGAUACGCCCCACCUCGGCUUUAACUGGACUUAAACGACUCACACGUUUCAGAAAACUUGCUCUGUGGGGUGGGCGCCUUGUCUUGGAAUCAGUCCCCCCAGUUCCACACAUGCGCGGGAGAUGUCUUUCCGCCCCACUCUUCUAGCGCGCUAGUGUGGUCGGGUUCCCACCCAUCUCGGCUUCACUUCUCUAAAUCGAAUGCCUAUGCUCUGCCAUAGAGUUCACCCGAGAAGAUAGAGCGGUCCUGCGGCGGACACCAUCUUCUUUAAACCCUCAGUCCGUAUUGGUCUCUAUGGCAUCCAUAGAGGCCAUUCGGCUCUGAGGUCCUCAGUAAAGAAACUUAGAUGGUAUUACUGUGUUUUCCCCAACUGUGCUCUGCGGUUCCCCAAAGUAUUGUCUACGAGGUCCCUUAGAAAAAAUUGUCUAUAAAAAUGAGUGGUGGGCCGGGCGCGGUGGCUGACACCUGUAAUCUCAGCACUCUGGGAGGCCGAGGCGGGCGGAUCACCUGAGGUCGGGAGUUCGAGACCAGCCUGACCAACAUGGAGAAACCCCGUCUCUACUAAAAAUACAAAAUUAGCCGGGCGUGGCGGCGCAUGCCUGUAAUCCCAGCUACUCGGGAGGCUGGGACAGGAGAAUCGCUUCUCCUGUGGAGGUUGCCGUGAGC